CCCGAUUGAUAUUUUUGUAGGUUUAAGAUUCGAUCUCUAUUAAUUUUGUUUAAUGAAUUCAAGUUCAAACACUAGGAUGAAUUUAGUGAGAUUAAGGUCAAACCUCUAUAAUUCAUUUUGGGUUUAUGAUUAAACCACUAACUCAACCAAAUGCCAUAACAUUACGAAGAUUCAAGGAUCUCUCAACGAAACGCCAGUGGGGCAGAAUCAGAAUCUGCCUGCCGGUGGUCUGCUUUUUUUAUUAUAUCUGCAAAUCAAAGAUUGGACGAAACGUCAGUGGGGCACCUCAAGUGUUCGACGAAAUGCGCCAAAGAGACGUGGGGGCUUUGGAGCGCAAUGUUAAUGCAACUGCCCAUGUCCUGAAAGGCACUUUUCUUGAGCUUCUGCCAUGGCUGAAAGUGAAGAGCUUCCUGAGAGAGAUGGUGAGGAACCUAUGAA